UACAGCGAUCCUCCUGCCUCCGGAGGCCUCCUGAGUGCUGGGACUACAGACGUGAUGUGCACCACCACUCCCAGCAACUCACUAUCUGUUUUCAUCAAAAGAUCCUGCUUCCAGGCACAUAUACAAACAGAUGGAUUCCCUUGAGGAAAUGGAUUGGGUAUCUAGAGAUGUGGAAUUUAGCCUGGCUUUAGCCAAGAACCAGCACUGGACUUUGGGCAAGUCCCUUCACUUCUCUGGAGCUCAGAUUCCUCGUAUGGAGGAAAACAGAAGGGACUGGUUUCAACUCAGGUGUCCUCUGGAGCAGGCCGAGUCAGCUAGCUGGUACUCUGGGGCAAGAGCUGUUUGUGAAGUGUCUGGUGGAUGAGUCCAGACCCAGUCACUGGAAAAACUGAACUAUGGAAGCCUAUUAUUGGUUUGUGUUCACAUAGAUCUUUGACCUUUCUUCCUUUUGGGGGGAGUGGUACUGGGAAUCGAACUCAGGACCUUGUGCUUGCCAGGCAGGCACUGUGCCACUGAGCUGUAUACCCAGCCCCUUUCUCCCAUUUGAACUUCAUUCCUAUGUCAUAAAUAAGGCAAGUAGUAUUCAUCCCUAUGGCCCAUAUGAAGAGACCGAGAAACAAAGAAAUCAACUGACUUGCCUGUGGUCACAAAGAAAGUGUUACAACUAAGGUGAGAGUUGUUUAAUCAUUUAACUAGACUCUCCCCAUCAUGCCAGUGUCCCAAGAAUUUGUUGGCUGUGGAGCUAAGCCCAUUUAUUACCCAGAGAAUACAUUUAUCCCUUUAAAUAAGGGCUACUAAAUAUUUGGAGGAGUAUAGCUACUGAAAAGUAUAUGCAUAAAUGAAAAUGUGAUUCAUUUCCUCCAAGUGAAUACACCUACCCUCCAACACACACACACACACACACACACACACACACACACACACAGGGAGUUUACAGAUAGAUACACACAUGCACCCAUCGGGUGAAUGCGGUUUAUACCAGGAAUGAGAAACUCUAUGUUCUGGUUGUAGUUCUGCCACUAACUCACUAUGUGAUCCUUAGUAAGUCCCUUAAAUCCUUCCCUCCUCUACCUCUCAGAACUGUGGUAAAGAUGAGAUAUUAUAUAGAAGAACAUUUUGAAAAGAAAUCAGUAAAUGUUAUAUGAAUGCUUGCCUCUUAAUUUCUUCUUUGUCUGCUUCCUAGGGGGAAGCGUAACCUAAAAAACACAGCAAUGACCUACAUUCUCGCCUUCAUGGAAAUGCAGUGACAUUUUGAUGUGUACCCAUAUGCUGUUUACUCCAAGGACCAGUAACUACCAGACAGCUGCAAGUAGUGUCUUAGGGACGGUCAAAGCUGGAGAGGAACGGUAAGCUUCCCUCUGCCUGUGCUGUAGGUGGCCCUUGUGACCCACUCCUCGGAUGAAGGCUCUGGGGAGGACAGAGUUGCCUCUGUUUCUCUUAGGUCCUGGGAAGCCAGUGCCUUCCCUGAUUUCAUUCCUUUAAAAAUGUUUUUGUGGCCUACUACAGGGAAGCUCGCCAGGAAAAGUCAGUCUUCUUGGUGUUGGAGUUGGCUGUUCAGCAGUCUACCAAUUGCCUCUUACUUGUAAAGUGUGCCUUUAAUCACAGUUUUUCUAGAAUUUAUUUUAGGACUGACCACUAACAGUGACGUACUCAGGGAAAACCUGAAUGAAAUCAUGUCAAGCCAUGCAUAAAACCUACUCUAACUGAAAUCAAAUUCACCAGAAUAUAUCUUUCCUGCUCUCCUCGAUGAAAUUGGGGGAACAAUGAAAAGCUGCAAGAAUUACACUCCUAUUGUGUGUCAGAUGCUUUGCUUUGUACUGGGACUUUAGCAGUGCUCAGAUACUCUAGGAAUUUAUAGUCUUCCUAAAUGGACAGCUGCUGUUCAAUUCGCCAGCUAGCAGGGGCUCUGAGACUUGCCUGUAAGCCAGAUAGUAAAUCAUUGCAUUAUCCUUUUAGGAUGGUUUCUUUUGGUCCACUUUCAUGGGCCUUCUGUUUCAGAAGCCUCUGUGGACUUCCUCUUUGGGAUCUGCUUGAAAGGCGGACGUUUUACCAGCUGUCCAGUGUCCCCCAUGCAAUAGCUGCAGCAGUCCGUUUGGUGACUUACAGCAAGCUCUCAGUCUAACUCAUAAACUGCACGGGCCAGCCAAAGGAAAUUCUGAGUAUGUGACUAUUAGACCCAAGCACCACGUCUCAAGAACAGCUCCCACCACCAUUUCUAUGCUUGAAGCCCUCCACCGUCACUAUGGGAACAGAGUGGCACAGGUUUAACAGUGGUUCUUCCAGAAGUUCACUGAUUCUUCAUGAAAUACAUAAGGAGCCCAGACCUGGGGCCACUUGUACAUCUGGAAAGUCUGUGAGCCUCCAGCCUGGGAACCCUGAGACUGGAGGAGCUCAGCCGCCGUCUUUCUCUGUUUGAAAGCAUUU